CCUACGGGAGGCAGCAGUGAGGAAUAUUGGUCAAUGGGCGGAAGCCUGAACCAGCCAAGUAGCGUGCAGGAUGACGGCCCUACGGGUUGUAAACUGCUUUUGUACGGGAAUAACGCGCCUUACGUGUAGGGCUUUGCAUGUACCGCAUGAAUAAGGACCGGCUAAUUCCGUGCCAGCAGCCGCGGUAAUACGGAAGGUCCGGGCGUUAUCCGGAUUUAUUGGGGUUAAAGGGAGCGUAGGCCGCAUGUCAAGCGUGCUGUGAAAUUUCCGGGCUCAACCCGGGCCGUGCAGCGCGAACUGGCGGGCUUGAGUCCGCGGAAGGCAGGCGGAAGUCGUCGUGUAGCGGUGAAAUGCUUAGAUAUGACGAAGAACCCCGAUUGCGAAGGCAGCUUGCUGCAGCGGAACUGACGCUGAUGCUCGAAAGCGCGGGUAUCGAACAGGAUUAGAUACCCCAGUAGUC
rnacentral:rRNA from 1 species